UUUGGCAGACUUUGAUGUCACGAUUGUUCUACUGUGAACCUGUUUAAGCGUUAUAUCUCCGACUAUGUCACCGCUGUGUACUUAAACAAUCUCGAUAGACGCAAUAUGGAGGACUUACUAUGUUUACUGUUCCUACUUCUCACAGCGAACGUGGAAUCUUAAUGUAGGAUGAAACCGGCGAACCCGAAGAAACCUUUGUGAUCGGGCAGGUGACUGAACACAUUUACACGCCCGCCGAAAACAGAACUAUUUUACAUCAAGGGGAGACAGAUCUGCCUCUAGUGUCUUUAAACCAACUUUGUAACCAGGUUGGACUCAUCGAUUGUGAUACCGAGUACGUCAGCCACGGAGACGAACAGACGUGUGGAAUGGACGGAAUAACGUAUGAUAAUUUUUGCCACUACAGUAAAGCUCGAUGUUCCGACGUUAACUUAGGUAUAGCCAAUGUUGGCAGUUGUAUUGAAAAUGAUCCUAGGAGUACCUCACCGCCUGACCACACGAGUAAGCCAAAUUCCGACGUCAUAAUACAGUUUUUUUGUAAAAAUGCUGAUAACAUUGACUGUACAUUGGAAGAUCGAGAGCCAUACUGUGGUAGCAACGGCAUGUUUUACUUAAACAUGUGUGCCUUAGCAAAAGCAAAAUGUACAGAACCAAACCUGGAAUCGCAAANUGAAAU
rnacentral:misc_RNA from 1 species